rnacentral:rRNA from 1 species
ACGGAAGGCAGCAGUGGGGGAUAUUGCACAAUGGGGGAAACCCUGAUGCGGCGACGCCGCGUGAGUGAAGAAGUAUUUCGGUACGUAAAGCUCUAUCAGCAGGAAAGAUAAUGACGGUACCUGACUAAGAAGCACCGGCUAAAUACGUGCCAGCAGCCGCGGUAAUACGUAUGGUGCAAGCGUUAUCCGGAUUUACUGGGUGUAAAGGGAGCGUAGACGGCAUGGCAAGCCAGAUGUGAAAGGCAGGGGCUCAACUCCUGGACUGCAUUUGGAACUGUCAAGCUAGAGUAUCGGAGAGGUAAGUGGAAUUCCUAGUGUAGCGGUGAAAUGCGUAGAUAUUAGGAGGAACACCAGUGGCGAAGGCGGCUUGCUGGACGAUAACUGACGUUGAGGCUCGAAAGCGUGGGGAGCAAACAGGAUUAGAUACCCUGGUA